AUUGCUCUCGACUUUAGAGUUCCUUCUUGAGUUUGGAGUGAGGCCAACGAAUUCCCACGACUUCGUUGUGUGUAGUUUACGGUAUCUAUUGGCUUUGCAGCAAAUGCAUUGAAGACUUUGGUGUAGCUAUACACAAGGGACUCCGAAGCAUCGUUCUCACUACACAAAAUCAAAGAGACGAACACUCAAAAUCGCGCCUUUUUGCAUAGUCUCUUGGCCUACAAGAAGAUGGAGAUGCAGGAAUGGUAACAAACCUUUCCUUCAAUGAAGAGAGGACACUGAGGUGUGUCUCGAGCAAUCUCUCGCCCGAGGCUUCGUCCCUCAAGAAAACAAUCUACGACUACGCUUGCAAAGACGAGGUAGAGUAAGAGAAGAGGCGAACGAAGGCGGCUGUUGUUCGACAUCAGAAGAGGAACAUGUGUGUGCAUGUAAUCUGACAAGAAUUGUUGUGACAUAUAAAUAGGAUGCAA